rnacentral:misc_RNA from 1 species
GCACGUGAUCAGCUGAUCCAGUGAACCUUAUCAACACCUGUCACCAGUGACUGCCUCAGUCGCUCUUUUCUUGUUAUAGCAAUGGGUGGAGGCGUCAGUUUUCCCGUGGUUCCCCUGUCUCGCGACCGUGUUGUACUGGUGACCGGUGGAAACACAGGUCUGGGGUACGAGGCAGCUAAACACAUCGCCAUGAUGGGAGCCUCUGUCGUCAUAGCCUGCAGAUCACAGACCAGGGCGACUCAGGCCAUACAACGGAUGAACGAGGAGUUCAGAGCUUCGAAAGAAGCCGGAACACUCCCAGAGGGCAUCAGCCAAACCGGAAGUUUGGCAGUAGAUUUUAUGGAACUUGAUCUGGCGUCCCUUAAGUCCACCAUGGCAUUCAUUGAGGCCUUCAAGGCAUCCGGCCGCAAGCUGCACGUACUUCUAUGUAAUGCUGGUGUGGCAAUGUUGCCCAGAGGUUUCACAGAAGAUGGCCAUGAAACAAUGUUCCAGGUGAACUAUUUGGGCCAUUUCCUGAUCAUUGCUCACCUGGUGCCUACAAUGAAGACCUCAGGUAGCGACUGCCGCAUCAUCUUCACAUCCAGCCAAGCCCAUAUGUACAGCGAGAGGGAGUUCAGGGAGUCCAAGGUCAAGGCCGAGGAUCCCGCGGUAUAUGGAAGGAUGCUCAACUAUGGUACCUCCAAACUGUUUCAGGUACCCACAUAUGUAAUUACUGAUUACGUUGUUUGGGUGUGUGUCAGAUUGUCGAAAAAACAUAUCACAUCAGUAAGAUUUGAGUUGAAUUUCAUUGCUUACAUGAAAUGUUUUGCUACUACUCAGAUCCACCAUAUGUUUUGUCUGUCGCGGAGACUGAAGGGCACGGACAUUUCGGUCACUUGUCUGCAUCCGGGUAUUGUGCGGACUGAAGUUACACGGAGCUUCACUGACAGUACAGCACUUGCAGCUAUGUUUGGAACAUUUAGAAUGCUUGGUCAGUAAUAGCCAUAUUGUCGUUAAUGGCUUAAUGCGCAUAUGCAACGCGCAAGAAUAUGUAUGAAUAUUAUUAUCAUCUGAAUUAACGUUAACACUGAGUUAUUAUAGGAACACAUGUACAGUUCUCGAAAUAUACGUCUACUUUGCCAGACCAUAUUAAAGUGUAUACAGAUAGCCCCGGGUCUACUGUCGCUAGUGUUCCAAGUGUCUUCCUCACAGAACGUCGUUGCAUCAACAACCAAAGAAGGGUCCAUGUGAACAACAUGAACGUGGUUGUUACGUGUGCAGGAUUUACAAAGACCCCGUUACAAGGGGCGACAACUCUGAUAGAUGCAGCAGUGAACACAGUAUGGCGGGGUGUGUCGGACGUUUAUCUUAUGGACUGUAAGCCAAGUUCUACACACUCCUGUGCAAG